rnacentral:rRNA from 1 species
AAUUCGAUUGAGUUUGAUCAUGGCUCAGAAUCAACGCUGGCGGCGUGCCUCAGACAUGCAAGUCGAACGCGAAAGUCCCCUUCGGGGGACAAGUAGAGUGGCGCACGGGUGAGUAACACGUAGGUAAUCUACCUUCGGAUGGGGAAUAACAAUCGGAAACGAUUGCUAAUACCGCAUAAUGCAGCGGCACCUAAUGGUGACAGUUGUUAAAGCGGGGGAUCGAAAGACCUCGCGUCUGAAGAGGAGCCUGCGGCGGAUUAGCUAGUUGGUAAGGUAAUGGCUUACCAAGGCAACGAUCCGUAACCGGCCUGAGAGGGCGGUCGGUCACACUGACACUGACAUACGGGUCAGACUCCUACGGGAGGCAGCAGUCGGGAAUUUUGGGCAAUGGGCGAAAGCCUGACCCAGCAACGCCGCGUGAAGGAUGAAAUCCCUCGGGAUGUAAACUUCGCAAGAACGGGAAGAAUAAGUAGGGGACAAUACCCCCUAUGAUGACGGUACCGUUUGUAAGCUCCGGCUAACUCCGUGCCAGCAGCCGCGGUAAUACGGGGGGAGCAAGCGUUGUUCGGAUUUACUGGGCGUAAAGGGCGCGUAGGCGGCCAGCACAAGUCAGUUGUGAAAUCUCCGAGCUUAACUCGGAAAGGUCAACUGAUACUGUGCGGCUAGAGUGCGGAAGGGGCAACUGGAAUUCUUGGUGUAGCGGUGAAAUGCG